CCCUUAGAUGUUCUGGGCCGCACGCGCGCUACACUGACGAAUGCAACGAGCUUAUAACCUUGGCCGAAAGGUCUGGGUAAUCUCCAAAUUUCGUCGUGAUGGGGAUAGAUUAUUGCAAUUAUUAAUCUUCAACGAGGAAUGCCUAGUAAGCGCAAGUCAUCAGCUUGCGUUGAUUACGUCCCUGCCCUUUGUACACACCGCCCGUCGCUCCUACCGAUUGAAUGGUCCGGUGAAGCGUUCGGACCGUGGCCUUUGGACGGUUCGCCGUCUGUUAGCUGCGGGAAGUUCGUUAAACCUUAUCAUUUAGAGGAAGGAGAAGUCGUAACA
rnacentral:rRNA from 1 species